CCUUUAUGUGUUUGUAUGCAUGCGAUUGGCAACAUAACUGGCUUAUUUACAUUAAAUACGCCACAAGGUUACAGUGCAGAUCAACGUCACUUUAUCGCUGAUUACUUCUCUUAAACGCCGGAGCUGUGACUGAUGCUCCGGUCCCGGUGUCCACCAAGAUUUACCCUGGAGUUUUUAAAAGAAACAGACUUGAAAUAGUUUCAGGAGCAGCACAAGAAAAUGAUCAAGUCAAUCAUGUGGACAUGCUUCAUUAUUCAUUGAACACAAUCUUUUACAACGCUUCGUUUACGUGCAGGAGUUUCUUCUACGUUUUGCUUUAAAUUGUAAGGUAUACAGUAACAGUGGAAGCCCCAGUUGGAAGAUUAACAGUGAAGAUCACAGGUUUUAGGUCCCAGCAGAAACUUCAUCACACUGAAAAGAGUAAAGAUUGCAGUUUGCAGAACCUAGUGAAACCUUGAGAGUAUGCAGAGUGUUAGCACUUACUCUCCAACUUCCACUGGGUCUCAUAACCUGCUAUCUUAG
rnacentral:lncRNA from 1 species